AGGACGAACGCUGGCGGCGUGCUUAACACAUGCAAGUCGAACGGAAAGGCCCUUUCGGGGGUACUCGAGUGGCGAACGGGUGAGUAACACGUGGGUGAUCUGCCCUGCACUUUGGGAUAAGCCUGGGAAACUGGGUCUAAUACCGAAUACACCUUGCUGGCUGCAUGGCCUGGUGGGGGAAAGCUUUUGCGGUGUGGGAUGGGCCCGCGGCCUAUCAGCUUGUUGGUGGGGUGAUGGCCUACCAAGGCGACGACGGGUAGCCGGCCUGAGAGGGUGUCCGGCCACACUGGGACUGAGAUACGGCCCAGACUCCUACGGGAGGCAGCAGUGGGGAAUAUUGCACAAUGGGCGCAAGCCUGAUGCAGCGACGCCGCGUGAGGGAUGACGGCCUUCGGGUUGUAAACCUCUUUCAGUAUCGACGAAGCGCAAGUGACGGUAGGUACAGAAGAAGCACCGGCCAACUACGCGCCAGCAGCCGCGGU
rnacentral:rRNA from 1 species